UCUGACCUGGCAGUGGGAAGCAGAGGUAUCAUCUGUUUGGUUACUGAUUACCACUGUCAUUGCUUCCAGAGGGAACAGAGCUUCAGGCACUAAAGAUAACUCAGGCCUGCUGAGCCUUUCAUGGGCCACAGGCCACCUUCUCCUUCCAAAUGUUGAAAAAUCCCAGUAUGCAGUGGAAACUGGCUGACGCAUGGCUGGCUGUUCUGGUUUGCCACCUUUCUGCUCUGAGAGGGG